UGGACUUACUUUGUAGCCCAGGAAUCACUCUGUAGUCCGGGCUGGCCUAGACUUUGUAGCCUAGGCUAGCCUAAAUCUCAUUCUAUACCCCAGGCUGGCCUGGAACUCAUACUGUCUAUUCAGUCAGCUCCACCAGGGUCAGACAAGCACUCAGGUCCUCUGGUUUUGUAAACUCUUCUCAUUCAUGAGCCUUCUUUCACCUUCACCCUGAGAUGUCCUUGGGUCUUUCCCAGCAUUCCCAGGUGGCCUUGCUUUCGUCAUUACUGUUCCUUCAAGUUGGUGCAGUGUUGAAACUGUCUCCUGACCAGUGUGGUCUUGGAGUGGCAGCUAUUCUUUUUUCUUUUCUAUCCUUUCUUCUUGGAGGCCACAGGCCGUGAUGUCCCCUCAGUGUCAUCUUCACAGGGAUCAUAUGACAAUGCACGGUAACUGAUCCUGGUCAGAGGCACAUGGGGCCCAGCUGGGGGACCCUCACUCCCAAGGUGACCAUUAAAGUACAGGACAGAAACAAGGGCAGUGAGCGCUGUGACCACGGCAGAGUUUAGCCAAUGACAGGGAAUUUGUGAAGAUUGGUUCUGCAUCUUGACACAUCAGGACUCCCUAUGGCUCCUUGGUGGGAGGGGACAUUAGAAAGGUCAGUUCCAGCAACUCAGGGAGGGGACAAGGCCUCUGGAGAAGAGCCACCUUCUUAGGGACCCGCAGUGUCACGGCAGGCUGGCUUUUCUUCUGACACACCUGUUUCCUUUCCCCUGAUUUCUAGCAGGGGAUGUCUAUUGCCCGUCACAUCUGGAAGCAACAGAAGGCGGCUACAAUCUAACUUCCCAGAGCUCUCAGGAUGAAAGGAGGGUAUGAGGGAGAGGCUGAAGAUGUGUUAGCCCCGCAGUCGCUGAAGUUCACCUGGCGCUAUCAGUGUGGAAAGAACAACCUGCCUGUGGCCCAGGAAGGCGUGCUACUGGUGUACACAGCGAACAAAACAAAACAAAAUAAGGACUUGCACUCUGUGUGCAGACAGAGAUGGGGGAGGGCAGGGAUAAGGUGGGGAGUGCUGUCUAUCUCUAAAGGCUUCUCCCAGGAAGUGUGUUGUUAGCUGGACAUCAAGGUGGAGCUGCUGCAGGCUGACAGAGGAGCUUGUGGGCAGGCAGGGUGGGUGGGAGACUGACUAUAUACAUCUCCAUCUGGAGGACAAGGCAGAGAGGAGGUGUGACUACAGAGGGUGGUGAUCAGGGAAGGGGGAUGGGACCAGCUCCUGGGCAGAGAGCUCGGAGCUGGGACUGUAUUCUGUUUGACUAUCUGCAGUAGGCAAAAGGUACAGCCAAAUGCCACUCAACACUAGCUGCGGGGAGCACAAGGUGGUGUUCUUGCUGGUGUGAGAUGAGGUGCGGUUGGAGCUCACACAGGAACAACAGCCUUUGCAAGAAGUGAAUGUGCUCUUAACCUCUGAGCCAUUUCUCCAGCCCACGCCUGCUUCCUCUAGGAUAUCUCUGGCCCGACAUUUUUUAACGUUGUAAAGACCCAGGAGAAGUGUCAGAUGAAAUGCUGUUUGGAGACAAUGGGAACAGAGGCAGGAAAAUCUCUAUGAGUUUAAGUCCAGCACAGUCUACAUAAUGAGUUCCAGGACAUUCAGAGCUACAUAGCAAGAAUCUGUCUCAAAAGAAAAUUAUUUUUUCCCAAUGAGAUGCUACUGGUGUACACAUGAACCCUGAAGGGAAGAAACAUGGAGUAGGGUCACAAGGAGACAAUUGCUGGGGGUAAAGGCAAAGCCUUGGAGUGACAACAACUUAUGGGUAUUGAUUUUGUGUAUGCAUCUGGUAAGGCGUGCAGGUGGAGGUCAAAGGGUCAUUUGUGAGAAUCAGUUCUCUCCUUCUGCCAAAUGUAUCCUGGGGGUUGAGCUCGUGACACCAGUAUUGGUGCCAUGAUAGCGGCAGUUACAGUCCCUAUGCUGCCCCCAACAAGGUGGGUUCAGAGCACCAGGACCUAUCAGCCAUGAACUGGACCUUAUAAAACGUCAAUUGAGGAGCUUCUCCAAAAGUGGAAGUCCAGAUCCAGGCCAUUCAUGAUGUGAGGCCUUUGGCCGAUGCCUUUAAAACGGAGAACUCACUUCAGAACACAACAGUUUAGAAGCCAGGAAGAUGCAUGAGCCUUCUGCAGCUCACCAAAGCCUGUCUGCAGGUGAAUUCCCAACAGUGGACUUGGGUUCCAGGAGUGUGCUUCUAUGGAGGACGCCCAUGAGUUCCCUUAGGUCUGAGAAGCUAGCGACGGGGAACUGUUUCAAGGCCCACAGAACAGGACGCCUGCCGCAGAGAGUGAAACACGGGCGUAAACCUAAACUACGAAAGAAAUUGAAGGAAGCUGGAGAGCUCAAAACUGGACCUCCCUGGGUGCUCUUCAAAGAGCAUGCGAUUUUAGUUCUUUUGCUAUGAUCUGCAGCACCUGAGUGAUCUCAUACUAUGGCUGUGUAGGAUGUGGGGACACAGAGAAAAUCCCAUUGACAAAAUUAACCCCAAAUUUGGGGACAGAAACAGUCACAAAUUUGCCUUCUCUGUUAUACGUUCUCCUCCCCUUCCCCCCUCUCCCUUGUUCCCUUCCCCAAGAGCACAAAUCUGUAGACCUGUUUGCCAGGGCUGCUGAGUGUGGUUUAGCAACCAAGGGAACAGAAGGAAGAAGGUAAGAAGGCUGGUGGGAGCUAGAGGGGGAGGGUAUCGUUCUCCCAGUGGGCACAAGGCAUUGGUGCAGUCUUUCCCCCAUAACGGAGGAGGCCCUGGGUGCAUUGUUUUAUUGUGGUUAGUUAUAGCUCACCUCUGUUGGAGCCAGGGCAAGGACAGGGCACAGUGAGAGCAUGGUGGGGCUCCUCCAUGUAAAGUGUACCAAGGUGUGGUGGAUUGAAUGUGCUUGACCCAGGGAGUGGCUAUUAGGAGGUGUGGCCUUGUUGGAGUAGGUGUGUCACUGUGGGGGUGGAGACCCUGUUCCUAACCACAGGAGAGCCAGUCUUCUCCUGUUUGCAGUUGGAUCAAGAUGUAGAACUCUCAGCUCCUCCAUCGCCCUGCCUGCCUGGAUGCUGCCAUGCUUCUUGCCAUGACGACUAUGGAUUGAACCCCAGAACUUAUAAGCUAGCCCCAGUUUACUGACAUCCUUUGUAAGAGUUGCCUUGCUCAUGUGUCUGUUCACAGAUAUGGAAAUCCUUACUGAGACACAAGGUGAGGGUGGAUAAACCACUCCCCUGCUAAUUCCCACAUGGCCUCCAGUUAUGUACCAGUCACUGUGUGAUGGCUUUCUAUAAAUGUGUAGGUCCAGUGUCCUCCAGCUCAGGGAAGGACUCACCAACGGUGACUCUGGAUGCUGCAGAGUCUGUGCAGUUUGUCCUGAUGGUUUCCCUAGAGACGACGUCUCUCACUAUGCUCAGAAAACUCAUGGCACCAUAUCUUAGCUUAGUUUUUCUUUUAAAAAUUUUUAAGCUUGGUAUUUCUUUUAAUGUUUUUAAGCUUAGUUUUUCUUUUAAAAGACAAUUUAAAGCUCUUUCUUAUUUUAAGGAGUGGCGUGAUUACGUUUUAGCUUUCUCAGCAUCAACCGAAGCCAGAAAUCCACUUGGAAUUAUUUUUUUGUACUAUGGAUUUCUUCCUGAUUGUAAUUACAAAUUUAAAAAGCUUUACAAAUGUAUAACAGUAUAAACUUUUCCUUACAUUUCACUCAAUUUUUGUAGAGAUUGAUCUUAUUUUAAGUUGUGUGGUUGCCUGUGUGGUUGUAGGCACAUGUGAGUGAAGUACCUGUGGAGGGCAGAAGAGGGCGUUGGAUUUCCUGGAACUGAAGAUCAGGUGGCCAUUGUGAGUGUCAGGAGAUGAGGUCAUGACCUCUGCUAGGUCAGGAGGCUCUCUUAACCAACCAACCAUCUCUCGGGUUCUUGGGCGUUUUGAUUGUCCAUACACACCACCUGGGAUUUAGCAUGAUGUUUGUAUUCCUUGGCAUUUCUAUAAAGAAGAUACUAGGUAUAUAAUCUUGAGACAGAUUCUUACCCUAUCUGCACUCCAGAUUCCUUGUUGAAAAUGCAGAGAUAAUCACGAAGAUCAGCAGAGUGAACACACAUGCGCACAGGGUUCUCAGCGUUAAGUUUUUAAAGAGCCUCAAGUAGACAAGAACAGCUUUGACCUUGAUUGGUCACCUAAGAUGAACUUGAACUUCUGAUUCCCCCUGCUUUCAUCUGGGGUCACAGGAAGGAAAAAAAUCAACAGCGGGUGUAAUAAAUCCCUUUCGCUAAUGAGA